rnacentral:rRNA from 1 species
GAGAAGCGGCGGACGGGUGAGUAAUGUCUGGGAAACUGCCUGAUGGAGGGGGAUAUCUACUGGGAACGGUAGCUAAUACCGCAUAACGUCGCAAGACCAAAGAGGGGGACCUUCGGGCCUCUUGCCAUCUGAUGUGCCCAGAUGGGAUUAUCUAGUAGGUGGGGUAACGGCUCACCUAGGCGACAAUCCCUAGCUGGUCUGAGAGGAUGACCAGCCACACUGGAACUGAGACACGGUCCAGACUCCUACGGGAGGCGGCAGUGGGGAAUAUUGCACAAUGGGCGCAAGCCUGAUGCACCCAUGCCGCGUGUAUGAAAAAAGCCUUCUGGUUGUAAAGUACUUUCUGCGGGGAGGAAAGCGAUAAGGUUAAUAACCUCACCGAUUGUGGUUUCCCGCAGAAAAAACACCGGCUAACUCCCUGCCAGCACCCGCGGUAAUACAGAGGGUGCGCGCGUUUAUCUCAAUUAUUGGGCGUAAAGCGCACGCGCGCGGUCUGUCAAGUCGGAUGUGAAAUCCCCCGGCUCUCCCUGAGAACUGCAUUCUAAACUGUCACGCUAUAGUCUUGUAUAGAGGGGAGA